UACGGAGGGUGCAAGCGUUAUCCGGAUUCACUGGGUUUAAAGGGUGCGUAGGCGGGCAGGUAAGUCAGUGGUGAAAUCCUGGAGCUUAACUUCAGAACUGCCAUUGAUACUAUCUGUCUUGAAUAUUGUGGAGGUAAGCGGAAUAUGUCAUGUAGCGGUGAAAUGCUUAGAUAUGACAUAGAACACCUAUUGCGAAGGCAGCUUACUACGCAUAUAUUGACGCUGAGGCACGAAAGCGUGGGGAUCAAACAGG
rnacentral:rRNA from 1 species